GACGAACGCUGGCGGCGUGCCUAAUACAUGCAAGUUGAGCGAUGAAGAUUGGUGCUUGCACCAAUUUGAAGAGCAGCGAACGGGUGAGUAACGCGUGGGGAAUCUGCCUUUGAGCGGGGGACAACAUUUGGAAACGAGUGCUAAUACCGCAUAACAACUUUAAACAUAAGUUUUAAGUUUGAAAGAUGCAAUUGCAUCACUCAAAGAUGAUCCCGCGUUGUAUUAGCUAGUUGGUGAGGUAAAGGCUCACCAAGGCGAUGAUACAUAGCCGACCUGAGAGGGUGAUCGGCCACAUUGGGACUGAGACACGGCCCAAACUCCUACGGGAGGCAGCAGUAGGGAAUCUUCGGCAAUGGACGAAAGUCUGACCGAGCAACGCCGCGUGAGUGAAGAAGGUUGUCGGAUCGUAAAACUCUGUUGGUAGAGAAGAACGUUGGUGAGAGUGGAAAGCUCAUCAAGUGACGGUAACUACCCAGAAAGGGACGGCUAACUACGUG
rnacentral:rRNA from 1 species